rnacentral:rRNA from 1 species
UACGGAGGAGGCAAGCGUUAUCCGGAAUUAUUGGGCGUAAAGCGUCCGUAGGCGGUUUGUCGCGUCUGCUGUGAAAACUCGAGGCUCAACCUCGGGCUUGCAGUGGGUACGGGCAGACUAGAGUGCGGUAGGGGUGACUGGAAUUCCUGGUGUAGCGGUGGAAUGCGCAGAUAUCAGGAGGAACACCGAUGGCGAAGGCAGGUCACUGGGCCGCAACUGACGCUGAGGAGCGAAAGCAUGGGGAGCGAACAGG